rnacentral:rRNA from 1 species
UCGAGCGAGAACCGGUCCUUCGGGGCCGGGGACAGCGGCGAACGGGUGAGUAACACGUGGGUAAUCUGCCCUCGGCACCGGGAUAGCCCGGGGAAACCCGGAUUAAUACCGGAUGGCCUUUCGAAUCUUCGGGUUCGAAUGAAAAGGUAGCUUCGGCCUCCGGCCGAGGAUGAGCCCGCGGCCGAUUAGCUUGUUGGUGAGGUAACGGCUCACCAAGGCUCCGAUCGGUAGCUGGUCUGAGAGGACGAUCAGCCACACUGGGACUGAGACACGGCCCAGACUCCUACGGGAGGCAGCAGUGGGGAAUCUUGCGCAAUGGGCGAAAGCCUGACGCAGCGACGCCGUGUGCGGGAAGAAGGCCUUCGGGUUGUAAACCGCUUUCAGGAGGGACGAAGCCACUCGGGUUAAUAGCCCAGAGGGUGACGGUACUUCCAGAAGAAGCCCCGGCUAACUACGUGCCAGCAGCCGCGGUAAUACGUAGGGGGCUAGCGUUG